UGACAUAGUUAUGGGUCACCUGAUUUCCUCUGAACUGCGAAAAAAAUGGCCGCCCACUUAUCAUACGGGAGAGUCAAUUUGAACAUUUUGAGAGAAGCAGCCCGAAAAGAGCUAAGGGAGUUCUUGGACAAGUGUGCAGGAAGUAAGGCCAUAGUAUGGGAUGAAUAUUUGACUGGACCUUUUGGACUUAUAGCACAAUAUUCCCUACUAAAGGAACAUGAAGUGGAAAAGAUGUUCACUCUCAAAAGUGGUCGGCUCCCAUCUGCCGAUGUCAAAAACAUUAUCUUCUUUGUCCGACCCAGGCUAGAGCUUAUGGAUAUCAUCGCUGAGAAUGUGUUCAGUGAAGAUAAGUUGCAUGCGACACGUGAUUUCCACAUCCUGUUUGUGCCCCGCCGGAGCAUGCUUUGUGAACAACGACUGAAGGAGCAGGGCGUGCUUGGCUCCUUCAUCAACAUUGAUGAGUAUAUCCUCGACUUGAUUCCAUAUGACGGGGACCUGCUUUCAAUGGAAUAUGAAAGUGCCUUCAGGGAGUGCUACUUGGAAAACGACCAAACAAGCCUUUACCACACAGCCAAGGGUCUUAUGACUUUACAGGCGCUUUAUGGGACUAUUCCACAGAUUUAUGGAAAAGGAGAGUGUGCACGGCAUGUUGCCAACAUGAUGCUGAGGAUGAAGAGGGAGUUUGCAGGUAUUCAGAAUCAGAUCUUGCCUGUGUUUGACACAUUACUGCUCUUGGACCGGAAUGUAGACCUGCUAACUCCACUGGCCACACAGCUCACAUAUGAAGGCCUCAUUGACGAGCUCUAUGGAAUCAAUAAUGGUUACGUGAAGUUGCCACCAGAGAAGUUUGCCCAGAAAAAACAAGGCGAAGCAAGCAAAGAUUUUCCGACUGAGCCCAAGAAGUUGCAACUCAACUCAGCAGAGGAACUUUAUGCCGAAAUCCGUGACAAAAACUUCAAUGCUGUUGGAGCGGCACUCAGUAAAAAGGCCAAAAUUAUUUCUGCUGCCUUUGAGGAGCGACACAAUGCUAAAACUGUUGGCGAAAUUAAGCAGUUUGUAUCCCAGUUACCUCACAUGCAGGCAGCACGGAGCUCCCUGGCCAACCACACAUCCGUUGCAGAACUCAUAAAGGACAUCACAACAUCUGAGGCUUUCUUUGACAAUUUAACAGUGGAGCAAGAGUUCAUGACUGGAGUUGACACUGAUAAGGUGAACACGUAUAUUGAAGAUCGCAUCGCCCAAAAAGAUCCCCUCAACAAGAUUCUGCGCCUUGUAUGCAUGCAGUCCGUCUGUAACAAUGGCCUUAAACAGAAGGUCCUUGACUACUACAAGCGAGAGAUUCUACAGACCUAUGGCUAUGAGCACAUCCUAACAUUGAACAACCUGGAAAAGGGGGGUCUUCUAAAACCACAGACUAGCUCAAGGAAUAAUUACCCUACCAUUAGAAAAACCCUUAAACUGUGGAUGGAGGAUGCAAAUGAACAGAACCCCAAUGACAUCUCAUACGUGUACAGCGGCUAUGCUCCAUUAAGCAUCCGACUUACCCAAGUCUUGGCUAGGCCAGGCUGGCGGAGCAUCGAGGAGGUGCUGAAGAUGCUCCCGGGACCGCACUUUGAGGAACGUCAACAGCUACCUGCUGGACUCCACAAAAAACGCCAGCAGGGAGAGAAUAAAACGACGCUAGUGUUUUUCCUGGGAGGAGUGACAUAUGCCGAAAUAGCAGCUCUCCGUUUCCUUUCACAAAUGGAGGACAGCGGAAUGGAAUACGUUAUAGCUACAACCAAACUGAUCAACGGUACGUCUUGGAUUAAAUCCCUCAUGGACCGACCCGAAGCCCAGAUGAACUGAGUCAUUUUUGACACACCUGGACACGUCAAAUGACCCUUUGGCUGAUCAGUCUUCAUGUCAAAAUAAGCAUGCCGCAGGUGUCUCACCGAUGUCUUAGUGAAACAGAUGGAGCUGUUUCUGUGUCUGGCUUUCACUGAUGCAAUAGAAAAACAAGCAUAAUACAACUGUUACUGUAAGAAAGUACUUUGUAAUUUAAAUCAUGUAUGUACGUAUGUAUGAAUAGUUUUUCAGAAUGUUAUGUUGUAUUUUUUUUUUUUUUUAUCAUUGUUGUAACCUUUUUUGUUUGUUCCAACCAGAUCAAAUAGAAGUAAAUCAUGAUGUUAAACUGAGGCUUUUGAUGCGGGAGGUGGGAGUAUUAGCUGUCAGCGCUGGUCCAGCCCUCGGAAGAAGCAAUUAGUGCAGUAACAGGCCUCCCGAUCAGCCGAUAAUGCUCUUGUGCCGUCUGGAGAGCUCAGGCCUCAGCAU